rnacentral:rRNA from 1 species
AAUGAACGCUGGCGGCGUGGUUAAGACAUGCAAGUCGAACGGUUUUUCAGAUAUAGCAAUAUAUUUGAGAGACAGUGGCGAACGGGUGCGUAACACGUGAACAAUCUACCUUCGAAUGGGGAAUAGCUCGCCGAAAGGCGAAUUAAUACCGCAUAUGGUUGGCCCUCUCCUGAGGGCUAUACCAAAGUCAGGGACCGUAAGGCCUGACGUUCAAAGAGGAGUUCGCGGCCUACAGCUAGUUGGCGAGGUAACGGCUCACCAAGG